UGAAACUAGAUAUGACUUAGUGGCGGACGGGUGAGUAACACGUGAGCAACCUGCCUUUCAGAGGGGGAUAACGGCUGGAAACGGUCGCUAAUACCGCAUGACGUAUACGAGUCACAUGUCUUGUAUACCAAAAGGGAAACCUGAUGAAAGAUGGGCUCGCGUCUGAUUAGAUAGUUGGUGAGGUAACGGCUCACCAAGUCUGCGAUCAGUAGCCGGACUGAGAGGUCGAACGGCCACAUUGGAACUGAGAUACGGUCCAGACUCC
rnacentral:rRNA from 1 species